GUAGAGGGGUAUAUCUAACUUUCCCUAUUCAAAAUUGAAUCACUUCAAUUUUUCUUGCAAAAUACUGGUUCUUGAUUAUAAAAGUUUUGGAUCAGAACCAGGAUUGUAUAAUGGGGUUCUUGAGUUCCCUAUAAGUCCUCUGCCCAUGUAACCCAUGGGAGUCACAUGGAUACUACCUACUGUAUCGGGGGCAGGAGGUAGGUGUAUAUACUUGUAUCACUGGUCUGGCAUGUACUCUCGGGACCUCCGAGUACGACAAAGUGAAAGGAGACAAGACUCACCUCCCCCUACUUUGGUAAACAAGGAUCGGUUUUUUAGCAAGGUACAGAAUGUAUCGUCAAAUAUUCAAUAUGAUUCCACAAGAUCUUGUUUUCUUAUAUUUGAUACUUUUAGAUCGAAUUGAAUUGGACAAACCUAUUGACUUUUAUGAUGUUCUGUGGUGGAUAUGGUUAGUAUAUCUCCGAUUAGUUGACUUCUGUAGUAGAAUAUAUUGUUGUAAUUAGACUUUUGGGCUGGUGCCUCCAGGUACGUUUCUUUGUCAGUGGUGUAAAAGAAACGACUUAUUCGAAGGAAAAAGAAAGACAGUGAUUCAUUAAAAAGAAUUUAUGUUAUAAUUCUUGUACUAA